AUUGAACGCUGGCGGCAGGCUUAACACAUGCAAGUCGAGCGGGGGAAGGUAGCUUGCUACUGGACCUAGCGGCGGACGGGUGAGUAAUGCUUAGGAAUCUGCCUAUUAGUGGGGGACAACAUCUCGAAAGGGAUGCUAAUACCGCAUACGUCCUACGGGAGAAAGCAGGGGAUCUUCGGACCUUGCGCUAAUAGAUGAGCCUAAGUCGGAUUAGCUAGUUGGUGGGGUAAAGGCCUACCAAGGAGACGAUCUGUAGCGGGUCUGAGAGGAUGAUCCGCCACACUGGGACUGAGACACGGCCCAGACUCCUACGGGAGGCAGCAGUGGGGAAUAUCGGACAAUGGGGGGAACCCUGAUCCAGCCAUGCCGCGUGUGUGAAGAAGGCCUUAUGGUUGUAAAGCACUUUAAGCGAGGAGGAGGCUACUCUAGUUAAUACCUAGGGAUAGUGGACGUUACUCGCAGAAUAAGCACCGGCUAACUCUGUGCCAGCCGCCGCAGUAA
rnacentral:rRNA from 1 species